GAUGAACGCUGGCGGCGUGCCUAAUACAUGCAAGUCGAGCGAACGGACGAGAAGCUUGCUUCUCUGAUGUUAGCGGCGGACGGGUGAGUAACACGUGGAUAACCUACCUAUAAGACUGGGAUAAUUUCGGGAAACCGGAGCUAAUACCGGAUGAUAUUUUGAACCGCAUGGUUCAAAAGUGAAAGACGGUCUUGCUGUCACUUAUAGAUGGAUCCGCGCUGCAUUAGCUAGUUGGUAAGGUAACGGCUUACCAAGGCAACGAUGCAUAGCCGACCUGAGAGGGUGAUCGGCCACACUGGAACUGAGACACGGUCCAGACUCCUACGGGAGGCAGCAGUAGGGAACCUUCCGCAAUGGGCGAAAGCCUGACGGAGCAACGCCGCGUGAGUGAUGAAGGUCUUCGGAUCGUAAAACUCUGUUAUUAGGGAAGAACAUAUGUGUAAGUAACUGUGCACAUCUUGACGGUACCUAAUCAGAAAGCCACGGCUAACUACGUG
rnacentral:rRNA from 1 species